GUACUUGUUUGGGCAGCACAUACGCUAAAAUUGGAAAGAAACAGACUACCACGUCCCUGCACAGGGAGACAUACAAAUUUAUAAAGUCUUCCAUAAUUCA
rnacentral:snRNA from 1 species